rnacentral:rRNA from 1 species
UGUUUUUUAAUACUGGCCUCUGCCCUAUGUUUUUUAAAUGGCAGUCUUAGCGUGAGGACAUUAAGGUAGCAAAAUAAUUUGUGCUUUUAAUGGGUUCUAGUAUGAAUGAGGUUUUUGGUUAAUUAUUUAUUUGAUUUUUUAUGAAUUAGUAUUUUAUUUAAGAAUUAAUAGUUAUGGUUAAACAAAGAUAAGUCUUCGAAAAUUUUUUUAUUAAAAUAGCUUUUGUUAUUUUAAUAUUUUUUCUAGGGUAGUGUGAUUAUAUAAUUUUUGUUACUAUUAAUAUUUAAAAAAAUUACUUCGGAGUUAACAGAAAAUCAUACCUUGACUAGUUUCUUAUAGUAUGGGUAAGUUUUACAUCGAUGUUGUAUCCCAGUUGUGUCAGAGAGGAGUAGGCUGAAUUUUUUAGACUGUUCUUCUGCAAAUAAACUGGACGUGAUAUUAGUUUAAUUCAUCC